AGCGAACGCUGGCGGCAGGCUUAACACAUGCAAGUCGAGCGGGCACUUCGGUGUCAGCGGCAGACGGGUGAGUAACACGUGGGAACGUACCCUUCGGUUCGGAAUAACGCUGGGAAACUAGCGCUAAUACCGGAUACGCCCUUUUGGGGAAAGGUUUACUGCCGAAGGAUCGGCCCGCGUCUGAUUAGCUUGUUGGUGGGGUAAUGGCCUACCAAGGCGACGAUCAGUAGCUGGUCAGAGAGGAUGAUCAGCCACACUGGGGCUGAGACACGGCCCAGACUACUACGGGAGGCAGCAGUGGGGAAUAUUGGAAAAUGGGCGGAAGCAUGAUCGAGCCAUGACGCGUGAGUGAUGAAGGCCUUAGGGUUGUAAAGCUCUUUAGUCCGGGACGAUAAUGACGGUACCGGAAGAAUAAGCCCCGGCUAACUUCGUG
rnacentral:rRNA from 1 species